CCUACGGGGGCAGCAGUGGGGAAUAUUGCACAAUGGGGGAAACCCUGAUGCAGCGACGCCGCGUGAGCGAUGAAGUAUUUCGGUAUGUAAAGCUCUAUCAGCAGGGAAGAAGAUGACGGUACCUGACUAAGAAGCCCCGGCUAACUACGUGCCAGCAGCCGCGGUAAUACGUAGGGGGCAAGCGUUAUCCGGAUUUACUGGGUGUAAAGGGAGCGUAGACGGCAGUGCAAGUCUGGAGUGAAAGGCGGGGGCUCAACUGCCGAACUGCUCUGGAAACUGUAUGGCUUGAGUGCAGGAGGGGUAAGCGGAAUUCCGGGUGUAGCGGUGAAAUGCGUAGAUAUCAGGAGGAACACCGGUGGCGAAGGCGGCUUACUGGACUGUAACUGACGUUGAGGCUCGAAAGCGUGGGGAGCAAACAGGAUUAGAUACCCUUGUAGUC
rnacentral:rRNA from 1 species